rnacentral:rRNA from 1 species
UACAGAGGUGCCAAGCGUUAGGCGGAAUCACUGGGCUUAAAGCGCGUGUAGGCGGACGGGUAAGUAUCUUGUGAAAUCCCACGGCUCAACCGUGGAACUGCUGGAUAUACUGCUUGUCUUGAGGCACUUAGGGGCAGCUGGAACAAAUGGUGGAGCGGUGAAAUGCGUAGAUAUCAUUUGGAACGCCAAAGGCGAAAGCAGGCUGCUGGGAGUGAUCUGACACUGAGACGCGAAAGCCAGGGGAGCAAACGGG